UUUGAUUAUUGCUUGUAUGCUAAGACAACAAGUUUAACAAAGAAUUUAGUUGGGCUUUUGGCGGACACGGGCCCGAAGGCGGUCGAACUAACGACGGGCCCGCCAAAGCAACAUGGUCAGGUAGACAUAGGGUUGGAGGUCGGGCCAAAGACCCUAACUCAGUAAUGAUCCUUCCGCAGGUUCACCUACGGAAA
rnacentral:misc_RNA from 1 species